GAGGAAGGUGGAUAUGUUAAUAGCAUAUUCAUUUUGACGUUUAGCUGCAGAAGAAGCACCGGCUAACUCCGUGCCAGCAGCCGCGGUAAUACGGAGGGUGCGAGCGUUAAUCGGAAUUACUGGGCGUAAAGCGCAUGCAGGUGGUUUGUUAAGUCAGAUGUGAAAGCCCGGGGCUCAACCUCGGAAUUGCAUUUGAAACUGGCAAACUAGAGUACUGUAGAGGGGGUAGAAUUUCAGGUGUAGCGGUGAAAUGCGUAGAGAUCUGAAGGAAUACCGGUGGCGAAGGCGGCCCCCUGGACAGAUACUGACACUCAGAUGCGAAAGCGUGGGGAGCAAACAGGAUUAGAUACCCUGGUAG
rnacentral:rRNA from 1 species